rnacentral:lncRNA from 1 species
CUCCAUCCUUACUCCCUGCCCUCCUUCCUUACUCCUUGUCCUCUAUCCUUACUCCCUGUCCUCCAUCCCCGCUCCCUGUCCUCCAUCCUUGUUCCGUACCCUCCAUCCCCGCUCCCUGUCCUCCAUCCUUGUUCCAUACCCUCCAUCCCCGCUCCCUGUCCUCCAUCCUUGUUCCAUACCCUCCAUCCCCGCUCCCUGUCCUCCAUCCUCACUCCUUGUCCUCCCCUAUUGCCCCAGAGACGCAAAAUGGACCUCACUUCACCAGCAGCCCACAUGGGCACCCAGAGAGCUGCAUUUCUCCAAAGCCUGGACGCAGAGAAGCUUGGGAGAACCUCUGCGAGUGGGACAAGGAAUGCCCACCAUCCUUAUAUCCUCCUCUGUCCCUGCCCUGAAGAUGGCGAAGGUGGCAACCAAGCGGAAGGGCACGAAGUCAGCACAGCUUCAGCCCGGCACGCACAGAACACCAUUCCCACCAGCAAAAAGCCACCUCCGGUCUCCCAGAGCUCUUCUCAAUUUCGAACAGCUUCAGAACUCAUCUCACUGAGGGUUCCUCAAUGCCUCCUGGAUCCCUCCGGGUCAUCCCGGCCCCUCCUGGGUCCCUCCCAGCCCAGCAGCGCAGAGCCCACGCUGACGCUGGAGCACAGACGAAUCCCUCUCGGCUCACUUUUCAGGUGAAGCAAACUGAAUCCCAGCAAGGGGAGGCUGGAAAUGCUCCAGCCUACGGCGGGUCCCACCUCUUCAACGGCUGUGUUCCAUCACCAGAGAGCCAGCGUGUGCUCCAGGGAGCAGCCCGCGGCACCUGCCGGGAUUGCGCAGUGCCAACAGCCGUCAGCUCUGACAAGGCCUGACACUCUUAUUGCUGCACAUGGCCAGUUACGGUAAUACGAAAGGACUCCUGUCCUCCUGAGCCCGCCGUGAUUGAAUUAACAUGAUCACCCUUUUUUUGCCAGUAACGUAGACCUGGGUUUUUUUGGGUUUUUUUCUCCUUAAAUCAAUAAGACACGUCGUUUGCAAGAGGCUUUUAUCGUGCCGUGUUCACACAAGCCUGUGAGCCCGACCCCCCCUCACACCUCCAUCAGUGACAGCGAUGUGUCAAUGGGCACCGUUCUGCUCGCUGGAUGACGCUGAGCUCUGCUGAGGAUCUGCCCCUGCUGCCAGCCCAAAAGAACGUGAACAACGCUCCCCCAAGGAGCAGCAAGGGGAAAAGAACGCUGCUUUCCAAGGCGCCGGGUAGAGUUUGGGUGCUGGACCAGAUGGGGGUUGGAGCUUGAUGAUCCUUGAGGUGCCUUCCAACCUGGGCCUUUCUAAGACCUUGGAAGGUCCCUUCCAACCCAAAUGAUGGGUGGGAAUUACGAGGGCAGAGUGGGAAUCCAGCAAAGUGACCCCAGGGAGCACAGCUGUGCUUCAGGAGCUCCUCCUCCUCCCGGCGACGGUGGUUGGACUGCCCAAAGCAACGCUGAGUGGGGGGACGGGGGAGAACCCGAACGGAAAGGAUGCCAAAGACACCCAGAGCGGCCAAGUUGGAAAGUAAAGAGCAGGAAUUCGUAGGGGGAUGGGAUGCGGGCUAACAAUGAAGAGCAAAGCUCAGCCACGGCUUCUGCCAGCGCUGCUUGGAGAGGUUGUAUGGGACACAACAUGAGCACGGUUGGCAAGCCUGGUGGGGAUGGGCUGGUUGGAUGUGGGGAUGUUGGAGGUCAUUGCCAGCCUUAAUGGCUCCGAUUCUCUGAGCAAACACGGUGGGGAUGGGUUGGUGGUUGGAUUUGGGGAUCUUGGAGGUCAUUGCCAGCCUUAAUGACUCCGAUUCUACGAGCAAACACGGUGGGGAUGGGUUGGUGGUUGGAUUUGGGGAUCUUGGAGGUCAUUGUCAGGCUUAAUGACUCCGAUUCUCUGAGCAAACACGGUGGGGAUGGGUUGGUGGUUGGAUUUGGGGAUCUUGGAGGUCAUUUCCAACCUUAAUGGCUCCGAUUCUCUGAGCAAACACGGUGGGGAUGGGUUGGUGGUUGGAUCUGGGGAUGUUGGAGGUCAUUGCCAGCCUUAAUGACUCCGAUUCUACAAGCAAAACAUGGUGGGGAUGGGUUGGUGUUGAUUUGGGGAUCUUGGAGGUCAUUUCCAACCACGGUGUUUCCACACUUCGGUCGCUGUACAACAGAUGUUGGCCGAUGAGGUCCAUUUUGCUGCCUGAAGGAGUCCGGAUGCAGGUGAGCGCUGCGCCGGGCCACCAGAAUCAGCGGUUUGUAAGGUUCUCAAUGACCAAGACAGACCUUGGAGGUCUCUUCCUUCAUCAUUCUACGACUCCACGGCUCGGGAUCUCCUUUCUUAGCUGCCUCAGUGGACGGUGCUGGCGCACAUGGGCUCGGGAAAGCCUCCUGUCCUCCACAGCCCCUUACAGAACAAGCUGGCUGAUCCUACUGGGGACGAAGGUCGGUGCUGCCCACCCUCUGCCUGCACAGCAGCACGACGGGAAGGGAAAGCGAAGACCCACCUCCUCUCUCACUCCCUCCACGCGUGCGGAGCUGUUAAACACCCCAAACACAACGUCACCGUGCCCACGACCACUCCGAGAGGGACCUAAUUUGCUCCCCUGCCCUACGGGGGAACUACCCUUAAGCACUCGGCCGCUCGCACGCUUAUUGCCCUCGCCACGGCGGGACGUUAAGCUUCGGCGCAGUGAGAUGAUUGCUUUUUAAAUCCCAGUCUCCCAGGAUUUUAAUUACUGGUCUGGCAGGGCUGGGAGUGGAAGUUGCUGCCGUCGGACGGAGGGGUCGAUACGCCGUCCCGGAACAUAUUGAGCCACGGUGCUCGCAGGCUCUAUUGAACUAUUUAAUCUUUCUUUUUUUUUUUCUUGCAAAAUUUACCGCGCGGCAGAAGGGAUCAAUACUGAAUUUAUCACGUUGCCUCGUAAAUAUGAGCACGGAGAGGGGAAAGAGCGUCUCAGG